GGGAAAAUAUCCUGUGCUCCGAACGAUUCGGUGCUCCGGCUGCACCCAACAUAGCCCACACGAUAGAUGCAAAAUAUGGGGACAGGAUGGAACCGGGACGCCCCCUCCCUUCAGAAUUUGCAAAGAUCACCUCACGUAAGUACAAAAUAGCCCAAAAGCUACUCCAAUGUGCUGCCCCAGGUUAGAAACAGAAUGAACACGAGAUAGGGCGUCGCGUCGGAUCUCUGGCGGCGAACCUCGCCGUGUGCUGCCUUGCGACCUCGCCGUGUUCCAAUGUCCAGCAGAUAAACCGCCCCAUCCCCGCGCCGCCGUUCUCCAUCUCGGCGCCAACACCUCACCACGCCCGACGCCUACCUUUGCCAUCCGUCGAUGGCUAGAUCCGCCAUCUGCGGACGCCUAGCUCCGCCAUUAGCGUACACCGGAGAAGGGAACUCCAGUCUUCAGGGAAUGAUGAGUCAAUGACAAGUAUUACUCCAAGUGCUGGGUCAAGUACAACGAUGGGACUUGAAAAUGAUGCGCUAAAAACUUCUCCAUGAGCAAAUAGCGGCCAAGAAGGUUCAACAUCAGUAGAAACACGAUAAUUCAAGCGGACAGCCCAAGCCAUGGGAGGACAUCCUUUAAUUUGCGUUAAAUAAUGGAAGAAAAUUUGCCUUUUUUUUUCAUAUAUGGACCUAGUUCCAUCAUUUUUUAUUUCUACUAUAACUAGUAGGCCUAGUUGAAUCCGUCCACGCAAUAUAUGUAGUCAUGUACACCUGCUACUCUGCUAUACCUACCUUGGGUUGUAAAUAUUGGGCGGCAACUCUAGUUAUGUGCUUCAUGGGAGAUUUAUAUAUUAUCAUGAGUGUCGUUCACAAAGCAUUGAUGAUAUUACUGUCGUACUAUGAGCUAUGAAAUGCCGAG